rnacentral:rRNA from 1 species
GACGAACGCUGGCGGCGUGCUUAACACAUGCAAGUCGAACGGAAAGGCCCUGCUUGCAGGGUACUCGAGUGGCGAACGGGUGAGUAACACGUGGGUGAUCUGCCCUGCACUUCGGGAUAAGCCUGGGAAACUGGGUCUAAUACCGGAUAGGAGCCACUUUUAGUGUGAUGGUUGGAAAAUUUUUUCGGUGUAGGAUGAGCUCGCGGCCUAUCAGCUUGUUGGUGGGGUAAUGGCCUACCAAGGCGGCGACGGGUAGCCGGCCUGAGAGGGUGGACGGCCACAUUGGGACUGAGAUACGGCCCAGACUCCGACGGGAGGCAGCAGUGGGGAAUAUUGCACAAUGGGCGCAAGCCUGAUGCAGCGACGCCGCGUGGGGGAUGACGGCCUUCGGGUUGUAAACUCCUUUCGCUAGGGACGAAGCUUUUUGUGACGGUACCUAGAGAAGAAGCACCGGCUAACUACGUG